CAGUCGCCGCGGGAAUACGUAGGGCGCAAGCGUUAUCCGGAAUUAUUGGGCGUAAAGAGCUCGUAGGCGGUUUGUCGCGUCUGCCGUGAAAGUCCGGGGCUCAACCCCGGAUCUGCGGUGGGUACGGGCAGACUAGAGUGAUGUAGGGGAGACUGGAAUUCCUGGUGUAGCGGUGAAAUGCGCAGAUAUCAGGAGGAACACCGAUGGCGAAGGCAGGUCUCUGGGCAUUAACUGACGCUGAGGAGCGAAAGCAUGGGGAGCGAACAGGAUUAGAUACCCGCGUAGUCCCUGUCUCUUAUAC
rnacentral:rRNA from 1 species